rnacentral:rRNA from 1 species
UACAGAGGGGGCAAGCGUUGUUCGGAAUUACUGGGCGUAAAGGGCGCGUAGGCGGCCCGCUAAGUCGAACGUGAAAUCCCCGGGCUCAACCCGGGAACUGCGUCCGAUACUGGCGGGCUUGAAUCCGGGAGAGGGAUGCGGAAUUCCAGGUGUAGCGGUGAAAUGCGUAGAUAUCUGGAGGAACACCGGUGGCGAAGGCGGCAUCCUGGACCAAUACUGACACUGAGGAGCGAAAGCCAGGGGAGCGAACGGG